GGCACAGUGGAAGUUUGCUGGGCCCAUAACCCAGACGUUGAUGGAUCGAAACCAUCCUCUGCUA
rnacentral:tRNA from 1 species